GACAGAGGAUGCAAGCGUUAUCCGGAAUGAUUGGGCGUAAAGCGUCUGUAGGUGGCUUUUCAAGUCCGCCGUCAAAUCCCAGGGCUCAACCCUGGACAGGCGGUGGAAACUGCCAAGCUGGAGUACGGUAGGGGCAGAGGGAAUUUCCGGUGGAGCGGUGAAAUGCGUAGAUAUCAGGAGGAACACCGGUGGCGAAGGCGGCUACCUGGACAGUUCCUGACGCUGAGGCACGAAGGCCAGGGGAGCAAACGGG
rnacentral:rRNA from 1 species